UUAAAACUAACUACAAAAAACAUUAAACUUUUUAAAGCUAAUAAAACAAAACUACUAACACUCACUGUUUUUAUUGUAGAGAUUUUUGGUUGGGGCAACCGCGAAGAAAAAGAAACCUUCGCCAAAAUAAAAAGAUAAACAAAUCAAAAAGCAAGCCCAAAGCUAUAUAUAAAUGACCCGGUAAAACCGAUCAAGGAAAAAAGUUACCGCAGGGAUAACAGCGUUAUUCUUUCUGAGAGCCCUUAUUGACGAAAGAGUUUGCGACCUCGAUGUUGGACCGGGGCAUCCAAGAGGUGUAGCAGCCUCUCAGGGUAGGUCUGUUCGACCUUUAAAGCCCUACGUGAUCUGAGUUCAGACCGACGCAAGU
rnacentral:rRNA from 1 species